UACAGAGACCUCAAGCGUUAUCCGGAAUCAUUGGGCGUAAAGCGUACCGAUAGGUGGUUUUAUUAGUCUUGGGUAAAAGCCCGAAGCUCAACUUCGGAGUUUGCUUAAGAUACUGUAAAACUUGAGGGGCAAAGAGGUGCUUGGAACGAAUGGUGUAGUAGUGAAAUGCGUUGAUAUGACAUAGAACACCAAUUGCGAAGGCAGCUCGCUACACAUAUAUUGACUCUGAGGCACGAAAGCGUGGGGAUCAAACAGG
rnacentral:rRNA from 1 species